rnacentral:rRNA from 1 species
GAUAAACGCUGGCGGCGUGCCUAACACAUGCAAGCCGAACGAUCCCGCAAGGGAGAGUGGCGGAAGGGUGAGUAACACGUGGGAAUCUACCUCCUCGCAGGGAACAACCUCUCGAAAGAGAGGCUAAUACCCAGAAGGGUCAGAAAUGAUCAGAGUCGAAAGGCGUGAGGAGAGGAGCCCGCGGCCCAUCAGCUAGUUGGUGAGGUAAUGGCUUACCAAGGCUACGACGGGUAGGGGAUCUGAGAGGAUGUCCCCCACACUGGAACUGAAACACGGUCCAGACGCCUACGGGUGGCAGCAGUGAGGAAUAUUGGACAAUGGGCGAAAGCCCGAUCCAGCAACGCCGCGUGGAGGAUGAAGGCCUUCGGGUCGUAAACUUCUUUAGAGGGAGACGAGAAAGGACGGUAUCCCUAGAAUAAGCGACGGCAAACUACGUGCCAGCAGCCGCGGUAAU